CCUAGAAUUCGCAGCGUUGGUGCUCGCAGCGCGGUUCACGCGCUGCAGUUCAACGGGAAGCAGGAGGCGCUGGCCGCACCGGCCAAAGCCAACCUGCGCUGCCCCCGCAACGGUAAGCGGCGGAACCCAUUCAAGGUUCCACCUUCAUUACAGUGAGCCACUGGGCCCGCCUGAUCGGCAGGCCCGGGAAGGCGAUGAAGGUUCCCCCCGCCAGCCCGGAUACCGGCCAACACGGUGGCCGCUCG
rnacentral:ncRNA from 2 species